rnacentral:rRNA from 1 species
AGAGUUUGAUCAUGGCUCAGAACGAACGCUGGCGGCAGGCCUAACACAUGCAAGUCGAGCGCCCCGCAAGGGGAGCGGCGGACGGGUGAGUAACACGUGGGAAUUUUCCUCAAGGUACGGAACAACUCAGGGAAACUUGGGCUAAUACCGUAUGAUGCAGAGAUGCCAAAGAUUUAUCGCCUUGGGAUAAGCCCGCGUCAGAUUAGGUAGUUGGUGAGGUAACGGCUCACCAAGCCUGUGAUCUGUAGCUGGUCUGAGAGGACGAUCAGCCACAUUGGGACUGAGACACGGCCCAAACUCCUACGGGAGGCAGCAGUGGGGAAUCUUGCGCAAUGGGCGAAAGCCUGACGCAGCCAUGCCGCGUGAAUGAUGAAGGUCUUAGGAUUGUAAAGUUCUUUCGCUCGUGACGAUGAUGACGGUAACGAGAGAAGAAGCCCCGGCUAACUUCGUGCCAGCAGCCGCGGUAAUACGAAGGGGGCUAGCGUUGUUCGGAAUUACUGGGCGUAAAGCGCGCGUAGGCGGCUUUGCAAGCCAGAGGUGAAAUGCCUGAGCUCAACUUAGGAAUUGCCUUUGGGACUGCGAGGCUUCGAGGACUGGAGAGGUGAGUGGAAUUCCCAGUGUAGAGGUGAAAUUCGUAGAUAUUGGGAAGAACACCGGUGGCGAAGGCGGCUCACUGGCCAGUUUCUGACGCUAAAGCGCGAAAGCGUGGGGAUCAAACAGGAUUAGAUACCCUGGUAGUCCACGCUGUAAACGAUGAGUGCUAGGCGUCGGCACGCUUGCGUGUCGGUGCCGCAGCUAACGCGUGAAGCACUCUGCCUGGGGAGUACGGUCGCAAGAUUAAAACUCAAAUGAAUUGACGGGGAAGGGCGAAUUCGCGGCCGCUAAAUUCAAUUCGCCCUAUAGUGAGUCGUAUUACA